rnacentral:sRNA from 1 species
AUUAAUUAUAUUAUGUUAUAUGGGUCUAAAUAAAUUUUUUAAUGGGUCAAAUAUAAUUAAUAUGUAUUUAAAUAGGGAGGAGAAAUGAGGUAUAAACUUAAAUGAGGUUAAAUGAGUUUAGAGUAAAUGGGGUGGGUUUUAAAUGGGGUGGGUUAGCCUAUAUUAACAUCACAACUGUAACAAUUGAUAUAAUUGCAGAUAAAUAUAUUUUUAUUCAUAACUAUGGUAGUUUUCUUCCUUCGUGUAUGUUCCCAAAACCAAAUCCGCGAAGAACGAAACCAAUUCUCCAUUAUCUCUUCUUCAUUACUAAUUGCUUUUCAUUUACUCACAUUCUUCCCUACCUCAACUCAGUUUCUCAAGUAUUUCUGGGGAAGAUUGCCUUCAAAUUACGGAGCUUUCAAAGAAAAUGUCAAGAAUUUGAAGAUUAGGAAAACAAUCGCAAGGCUUGAUUAAUUGAAGAGUGUGUGAUGAAUUGAGGGAUGAUAAGCUCGUUGAUUUUCAAACUCUUCCCAUACGAUUUAUGUUUUAAGAGAAUGAAACAGGGCACUAUGUAUAUAAUAAUAUAUUCGUUUGGAAUAAUAAAUAAAAGUAUGGUGGCUCAAUUGGUAUUGAGUCGGCAGUUAUGUCUUUGGAGCCACAGAUUCGUGUAUCUGAUUUAAUGUUUCAUUUUUUUCUAACAUUUUCUUUGAAAACUAAACUACGUUGUCGGAUUUGUGCAUCCUAAUCAUCGUCGUGUUAAGGAACAUUAACAUCGUUUUGAGAUUUGUGGGUUAAGACCGACCGGAUUUCAUUUGUUCGUGUAUGAAAUUCAAAUUUAACUUGAGUUUAUGUAGUUUUAGGCACACAAUAAAAUUCUAUGUAUAAAUACGAUAAAACAACUAAGUUUGGGAUGAAAUUAUCCGUUUUCCCUCACCAUAUGUAUGCUUCAACUUGUUUUUAUUAACUCAAAAUUUAAUUCAAUAACGAAAUAUUAAUAUUAGUUUGAUAAGAUACUCUCUUAGAGCAUCUCCAUUGCACAAAUAAGGAGAGUGUCUUCCUACACUUAAAAUAUAAUAUGUCAAAAAAAAUAUUAUUUUAAUUUUUGGAUGUCUUUAAAAUAAAGACACAAUGUCUUAAAUGUCUAAGUAAAGACAUAUUUUAGAGGAUGUCUCCAAUUUAAAGAUCUUUCAUAUUUGAUUAUUAAUAUUUUG